GGGGAGGGGAAGGAGGCAGGAGGGGAAGGAGGGAAGAAAGGCUCGCAGACAAAGGAGGGGCCCGGUGAUUGACGAGGCUGCGGGAGGUCCCUCGCGCCUUUAGCUCCUCCGACACAAACUACGGAAGCUCGGGCCUUUGCCGCUCCUCCCUCCUUUUACUGCUCCCCCAGGCUGUUUUUCUGCUGCUCUCGCGACACCUCCGAAGACGAGAAGUGCGCCGAGACUUUGACGAAGCGCAGACUGUGAUAAUCUUGUUACAGUUAAAAGUACCGCCACCAGGCAGCACAAAACAUCGGUGAAAAUAGUGAUUGCUGAAUUUGAUUUCAAUUUUAUUAUCAAUUCAAAAUGUUUCUUACGUCGACAGAAACGCCACCAGAAGAAAUACUAAGGGAACUAGUUUGGAUGCUAGGUACUUUAAAUGAUCUAAAGAAAGAUAUGAUUUCAGUCAAAGACACGCAUAAGGAAACAAGGGAAAACUAUGUUGAAACAAACAUCCUCAUGGAUGAGAUAUUGCUGGAAUCGGCCAAAAUGAGAAGUGGUAGAGUAUAGCAAAUAGAGGAAACAAAAUGGAAGAACAAGCUCAUAAUGUAAAACCUGUUGCUAACACUGCAAGAAAGUGACCGACCUUGAAGACAGAUGCAAACAAGCUUCAGAAUAAUUCAAGUAUAUCAGAGGGGACUGAAGAAGAAAAAUAUGUGAAUAACAUGGAAAAAAAAAAAACCUGUAAGAAAAUUUUCCCUAAGUUACAGCCUGACAUCAGAAAAAUAUUCACUCUCAACAAGAAGGAACAAGUUUCUAAGGCACAUUUUCAUCAGACUCUAAAAUCCAAGCCAGAAUCUUCAAAGCUUCAAGAAGAAAUCCUAUCAAAAAAAAUCUACCUUUUAUCACAUUGAAGUUAAAACCAUAGAAAAAGAGUGAUGUUGGAACAGAAUAUAAAACCAAAAGAUAGGGAUUUGGAUUCUAGAGUCAAAUUUGCAGCAAAUCUAUACUUUUUUUGAAGGCAGAGGAAAGAGGUUUAAAAAAUUAAGCCUUCAAAGAAUUCUUUGAAAAAAGAAUACCUAUGAGCAAAAGGGAAUCAGGAUUCCCUUGGAUAGAUAAGUAGUUAAGAUAUUCAACAAAGCAUUCCUAAAGUAUGUUAAAGAUAGUUUCUAUUACAAGAUAAAACUUAGAAAUCACUUAAAAGAUGUAGAAUUUAACAUUGUAUUAAAAAUAAACAUUAAUUAAACUAUUGUUUGGAAUACUCCUAGAUGUUGGAUAAAAUAUAAGGUUUCUUUAUGAAAGAUUAGUCUUAUGUAAUAUUAGUAUUGAUAAAAGUACAUUUCAGAAGAUAAUGGGGAAAUAACAUUUCAUAAUGAAAUCUAUCUUUGACUAAGUUGGAAUGUGGUAGAAAGGAUAAAAUCUUAGUGUAACAUUAAAUAUUGUGAAUUUGAAAAUAGAUUUGUCUAUAGGAGCCAUCCAAAAACAGAUUAGAAAGACUUAAGAUCAUAGGAAAGAUAAUUAUUAUACAUUGGUAAGUACAAGAUAAAAAGAAUAGCUAAUGAAAAGAUUUAAUCAGGGAGAUAAGAGUAUUAAUGGUAGAAAGUUUAGCAAACUAACCCUAAAAAUAUUUUAGAUUCUUACACCUCAAAACACAGCAAAUUGGUUAAACUUAUUUAAGAAAAUAAGUAUAACUCUCUUCAUGUUUCCUGGUAAUUUAAAAAAUUUUUUAAAUUACAUUAUUGUUUAUAUAUGAUAGAUCAAGGAAACAAGUAAAUUGUAAAAUUAGACAAAAUGCUUUACCAAAUUGCAACAUGAAGUUAGAAAAAAAUUUAAAUUCACAUUAAGUAUAUAGUCACUCAAAGAAUUGUACUUUCUUGCAAAGUUCAAGUAAAUUUGAAAAGAUGAAUUCUAUACAAUUUUCAGACCAAAAUACAAUAGUUAAACAUUUAUAGAAUAAGAGUAUUAGUUGAUAAGAAGAAAGGAAAAUACAGCACAAAUAUAACAUCUAUAAAAUGCUAAGGAAUAUGGGAUUAAAUGCCUGUGUUAAGAACAAAAAUGAAAAAAAAAACUUUGAGAUAUUUUUUAAAAUUAGGGAAAAGAAGUUUUUUUGUUUUAGAUUCCAUUAAUGUAGUUUAUAAAAUACCAUUUGUGUGAUAUGAUGGUAUACAAUUAAACUAUUAGAAACAAUUGGCCUCUAGCAAAGUUUCAGGGUAAAAAAUAAACUUACUUAAAUCAUUAGCAUUUCUGUUAUCAACAAAGUCCAGCAGCAAUAGAGAAAUCCCAUUUAAAAUAGAGAUAUUAUGAAAUAUUUGGGAGUCUAUUACCAAGACAAAAGCCAGGAACUAUAUGAAAAAAAUUACACAACCUUUUCACACAAAAAGUUAAAUUUAAAUUAUUAGAAGAAUAUCAAAUAUUCAUGGGUAAGCCAAG
ensembl:lncRNA